GGUUGAAUAGUGUAGUUGGUUAUCACAUCGGAUUUUGAUCAGAACUCUCUGAGUUCAUCGAAAGUUUCCGGGGACCCGGGUUCGAAUCCCAGUUCGACCU